rnacentral:rRNA from 1 species
CCUACGGGAGGCAGCAGUGGGGAAUAUUGCACAAUGGGGGGAACCCUGAUGCAGCGACGCCGCGUGAGUGAAGAAGUAUUUCGGUAUGUAAAGCUCUAUCAGCAGGAACGAGACAAGACGGUACCUGACUAAGAAGCCCCGGCUAACUACGUGCCAGCAGCCGCGGUAAUACGUAGGGGGCAAGCGUUAUCCGGAAUCACUGGGUGUAAAGGGAGCGUAGACGGCUGAGCAAGCCUGAAGUGAAAGGCGGGGGCCCAACCCCCGGACUGCUUUGGGAACUGUACGGCUGGAGGGCAGGAGAGGUAAGUAGAAUUCCUAGUGUAGCGGUGAAAUGCGUAGAUAUUAGGAGGAACACCAGUGGCGAAGGCGGCUUACUGGACUGUAACUGACGUUGAGGCGCGAAAGCGUGGGGAGCAAACAGGAUUAGAUACCCCAGUAGUC